rnacentral:tRNA from 1 species
UCCCUGGUGGCUCAGAGGUUAAAGCAUCUGCCUGCAAUGCAGGAGAUCUGAGUUCGAUCCCUGGGUGGGGAA